AUCAAAAUACGUCAUAUUUUCUCUUUUAAACAAUCACGCGAAAACAAUAUUUUCAAAUCUAGUCGAGCUUUAAAACUCCGCAACUAACUUUUAACGAACCCAAGAAAUAUAGGAUGAUCUACAAGCUGUUUCAGUCUUCAAGACCUCUAGAAAAAAAACGUUGUGUGGAUCAAUUUUAAAGCUGAAAAUAUUUUUGAUUUUUGUCAAGAUUUUGGUCGAUUUUUAGCACGGUGAAUUGGCAAUAACUCCGGACUUAUUGGUGAUAACCUUUUAUGUUUGGAACAAAAGUAUUAUAUUUCCAAAAAUCGACUUUUGGAUAAAACGUUUCCAGAACACAAUAAUUAUGUGUAAUCUCAUAUUUUCAAAUUAAUGUUAAUAAAUAAAAGCCACUGAA